rnacentral:rRNA from 1 species
GACGAACGCUGGCGGCGUGCUUAACACAUGCACGUCGAGCGGAGCGGCGAACGGGUGAGUAACGCGUGAGUAACUGCCCCCCUCUCUGGGAUAACAGUUGGAAACGGCUGCUAAUACCGGAUAGUGGGGGAUGACUCGCGUCCUAUCAGCGUGGGGGUGGGGUAGUGGCCUACGAAGGCUAGGACGGGUAGCCGGCCUGAGAGGGCGACCGGCCACAUUGGGCCGAGAUACGGCCCAGAUCCCUACGGGAGGCAGCAGUGGGGAAUAGUGCACAAUGGGGGAAACCCUGAUGCAGCAACGCCGCGGGCGUGAUGACGGUCUUCGGGUUGUAAACCGCUUUCAGCCAUGACGCGGUAGUGGCAGAAGAAGCACCGGCUAACUACGUGCCAGCAGCCGCGGUAAUUC